CCAAUAGCGUAUAUUAAAGUUGUUGCAGUUAAAAAGCUCGUAGUUGAAUUUCGGGGUUCUACCGUUGGUCGGGCUAUAGUCUGUACUGGCGCGUGGAAUUUCUACCUUCUGGGGAACUAUCAUGUUAUUAAUUUAGCGUGGUAGGAAACCAGAACCUUUACCUUGAAAAAAUUAGAGUGUUCAAAGCAGGCUUACGUCUGAAUACAUUAGCAUGGAAUAAUAAAAUAGGACGGUGGUCCUGUUUUGUUGGUUUCUGAAUCACCGUAAUGAUUAAUAGGGAUAGUUGGGGGCAUUAGUAUUCAAUUGUCAGAGGUGAAAUUCUUGGAUUUAUUGAAGACUAACUUCUGCGAAAGCAUUUGCCAAGGAUGUUUUCAUUAAUCAAGAACGAAAGUUAGGGGAUCGAAGACGAUCAGAUACCGUCGUAGUCUUAACCAUAAACUAUGCCGACUAGGAAUCGGACGAUGUUAAUUUUUCUUGACUCGUUCGGCGCCUUACG
rnacentral:rRNA from 1 species